AAUAAUAAUAACAAUUAUUAUUAUAUUUAGUUAAGCAGAAGAUAGCACAUCAUGAAGGGGAUUAUCUAAUAAUUAUCAUCAUCAUCAUCACAUUAUAAAUAUUAGAAAAUUAUAUAAAAAAUUGUCCAUAAAAUGUAUUAUCUGAUAUAAAUUUAUAUCAAUACUAAAUGUUUAUUGUUGUAUUUGUUUUUUUAUAAAAAAUAUUUUUUAUGGGGGGGGUCAAUUCUUGUGAAGAGUAAAAUCUUUGUUGAGCUUAUUUUGGAGUAAAUAUUAGUUUCAUAUCAUGUUCAGACUUGAAACGCUGAAUUUUAGUUUUUGAAUAAAACCUGUGUUGGGCUUAUUUGGAGUCAAUAUUAGUUUCAUAUCGUGUUUCAAAAGAGAAAUGUCACAGUUUGGAUUUUCCAAAACCUGACACUGAAAAAAAUGUGUGCAAGUCAGUAAUAGUUAUUAAGCAGAGAUGUUUUGGAAAACACCAGCCUGCAUUUUAAAUGUUUGCUGUUAAAUGUUUAGUGUACUUAGAGCUUCUGCUGUCCAAAAGUGUGUGGACAGUACAUGUAAGUUAUGAGUCCCGGGCAACAGAACGCCUGUGUUGAAUCCAAACCUCUUCCUGUGUUGGCCUGAACCAAUAUUUACUCUAAGCCAAGAUUGCUCUGCUCACAGUAAAAAGAGCUUAAGUAUUGCUUAGAGACUAGUGCUGCCAAAGAAAAAACACACACCCCAGCAGCACGGACAAGAGGUCAUCCUUGACGAAGCAAGAAUGUAAUGCUAUUUUGCUUCCCUCUCAACUGCAAUACAGUCCAUAUAACAGAGACAAAUCAAAGCUGCUCGAAGCAUCACGUUCAACCUGCCGAGACCAUUGUUGAAUGUGUAAACAUGUUACAGGCUAUCAAACUGCAAGUAUACUUCACAAGACUCUGUUGCUGUGCAGUGGUUGAAGACAGUGGGCUGUCAGUGAACCUCGGGUCAUUGGAGGAACAGAAGGAAGCUGAGGUUUAUCAUCGUGUUGUGACUGUCUCCUCCCUUCAUCCACAGGACACACAAAAUCAGAAGAAAGAAACUCAUGCAUGUUUGGAACAACUUGAGGAGCUCCCAGAUGGCACAGGCGGUCCACAGACCUGCACCAGUCCUGGUGAGGCAGUACCAAGGCAAAGAGGAACCAGGGGUCCAGAAAUGCUGGAGUCAGCUUUUAAAACUUCAGUCCGGUGUGAAGGGGCACAAUAGAAGACGAAUGUGUUUAUGACAGCAGCCGCUGAGAUGGCAUAUUCAUCAUUUAGUUUGAAGGCUGGGCUGAACCAGUAGGACAAGCUUGGAUAAAUGCCUGCAUCCCAUAAGUACAGGUGAAGACAUUUUUCUGCACACAGAAGGAGGAGGAAGUGAUGUCAGAGUGAUGUCAGUAAGGCUGCCCUCUGUCAAACAAGAUCAGGAGUCUGUCAGCCUCAGCUCUGUUGAAGGAGAUACAGAGUCUUCUGCUAAUGAUGUGUUUUAACAGUGAUGACCCUGUGAAACCUCUAGCAGGAAACUGCUAAGUGCCUGAAAGGAAGGAGAUGUUCUCAGCCUUAAAUUAUUCACAUCACAGAAACUCGUUUUUGGAUGACAGUCAGUGCAAGAGAUAUAAUGAACUCUCUCUAAUGUCUCUUGCAUUGCUGUUAAAUAAAUCCAUAUGUGCUGUUGUUUGCUGUGCGACUGUAAUAGUACAUUUUUAAACAAAUAAAUUGUAAACAAAUGUG